CUCGGUCCCCCGCGUGACGGUAUCACCUGAACCUCCCCAGGGCCGGAAGGCAGCAAGGAUAGGGCUGCUCUGCCGGGUGCGCGGGGGACCACUAUC
rnacentral:SRP_RNA from 1 species